rnacentral:misc_RNA from 1 species
CAACCCUCAAGCUCUGCUUGGUAUUAAGUCUCUCCUGUAAAGGCGGACUGUAAAAUCAGUGGCGGUGCCAUCUGGCUUCAAGCGUAGUAAAUUUUCUCGCUUUGGAGACCUGCUGUGUGCCUGCUAAACACCAAUUUAAUUAUAAA